rnacentral:misc_RNA from 1 species
AACCAUAGAAACCUGCGGAGUACCUGCGGAGGGAUCAUUACCGAGUGUUUAACCUCCAAAAAAAGGGGGUUACCUCCCGUCCUUUGCAGGCCCUUUUAGGGGCUUUUAAAACUUUGCUUCGGCGGGGUUACUCCGCCGAAACACCCUCAAAAAAUUCUGAUUUUUUAAAAACUUGUUCAGUCCGAGAAUAUAUUUAUGAAAAUAUAAAAAAACUUUUAGCAAUGGAUCUCAGAUCGGAAG